CGAAUGACGUCAUGGCGAUCGACAUUUGAAUUUACGGGAAAGUGAAAUAUAACUACAUAUUAAAGUUAUGUUCGACGUUUUCAUAUUAUCAAAACAUGAGAUAUAAAAAGUGAUAGAGAAAAUAUUAUUCCACGAAUAUUUCAUAGCAGUCAGAUUCAUUAUAAUAAAUCGAUAAAUGCCAAAUUUGGAUCGCGUGUAGUGUACAGUUAUUCUUAUAUACAUUAAGACAGGCUUUAGAGCCUGAAAUGUAUCUGUUUUAAAUUUCAUAAAAUGAAUAAUGAUGAAAUUUCACAAAAUAAAGAGACAGAUACUUCCUUACAAUUCUUACCCAGUACUUCAAUUGAACCAAGUAUAAAUGAAAAAAAUGAGAAUGAAACCUCCAAAGACAUUACUUAUAAUGAAAGUUUUGAAACAGCUUGUUCUAAAAGCUUUUCUGAAUUUGGUACAGAAAGAAAAGAAAAAACAAAUGGAAAUUAAUGAAAUAAAUAAACUACAACAAUUAAAAUUAGAAAAAGAGAAGAAUGAAGAAGCCUACAAAAACUGGAAAAGAAAGAUCUCUUUAAAACCAAAAUCUCAGAAUUAUAUAGGAUAUGGUUAUGUUGGGGGAAUUUUAAUAAAUAGUCCCAGAGGAAAUAGUUACAUGGAUUAAGGUAUGGACUGUUUUCAUCAUGAAAAGACAUCUGAUGUUCUAUGGGGAUGAGCUCUAUGCUGCAUGAACCAAUACCAACAAAUCAUGUUGUGACAUUGAGCUUCAGAUCAAAGUUUUGUUCCACCAAUGCAUGUUAUUUCUGUUCAGUGACUAUUAUACAAAUAUUGUUAUAAAAGUUCUACAAAUAUUGGACCAAUGAUUUGCUUUGAUGAAAUGGCACACCACACUGUGAUCUUUUAUGGAUGCAAGGGUGAGAUGACAUUGAGAUGUGGAUUUUCCAUAACCCAGUGGUGCCAGUUCUGUUUAUUGAUGUAGUCAAUCAGUUGGAAGUGGACUUUGUUGCUAAACCACAUCUGGUGUUCACUCAUUGAUAUAGUUUCCACAUUAUCAAUCAUUAAAUUGGCAAACUCAUCACUGCUGUACAUUGUUUCUUUCUGAGAGUGACUAGAACAGCUGUAUCUUGUAUGGAUGUAGCCCCACUGCUGUUAAUUGUUUCAAGGAAGUUUUCAUAGCUUUAACUUUUGUAAUGCCUUUCUUGUGGAUGUGUAUAAGUUGUGCUUCAAAAAAUUUAUGUACUGUACUUGCUCUUUAUUUUCUUUUGACACAACAGUGGAUUUUUGGCCCAAUGCUUCAGUUGGGCAAAAAAUCCACUUUUUGCUUCCCAAACACUUCCAGUGGACUCAAAUCUGGCCAUCAACCUGGAACAAAUGGAAAUGAUGAUUCUUUUGUCAGGUACAUGCUUAGUGCAAAUUGCUAUGCCACUUUAACAUAUAACAACUUACCAUGCAAUAACUAUGUCACUUGGAGCAUUUUUUGUUCAAAGUUUUUGCACCAUGCACAUUGAACAAUGGUAUUUGGUUAUUUUCAUAAAAUUUUCUUUCUAUAAAUAAUUGUUCCUCCAGAGUCAGGGAUUCCGUCUUCAAAUUUAUUCAAAUGUGAAAACAUAACUCAUAUAUACACUUACAAGCACUACACAUAAAACCAAUAUCCAGCAGGAACUAAAAAAUUCUACAAAAGCAAAUGUUUUCACCUGUGUUAAAAAGUCAUUGUCAAGCUAAAAGACCUUUGGAGUUUGAAUGCAGCUGUUAAAAUAAAACACGUUGAAAAAAAGAAUUUCUAAGGAUUGAUGAUUGUCUUCCAUGUGCUAAAAGAUGAUGUAAGAGAGAGAGGGAAGGGAAGAGGAAGACUAAAUGUCAUAGAGUGACUUCCAUGCAGUGGGGAAGGAGGCUACCUCUUUAAGUUGGUAGCCACAUUUUUUCUCGUGACUUUGUAAAUUUAUAACUGUUCUAAAUAUUUUGGUAUUUUUGUUCUAUAUAUUUAAGCCAUUUCUUGUGGUAGGUGCAAUGUAGGAGGAACACUUGGUUGAAAUGCAUCUCAAUGUCAGGAUCACUGGCAUAGCUAAUGCUGUGGUAGCAAGUUUAAUGAUGGAAGUUUUAUGUUUUUUGAGGUGGGUGUUUAAUGGUCACCCUUUGGCACCCA
rnacentral:misc_RNA from 1 species